AACGAACGCUGGCGGCAGGCCUAAUACAUGCAAGUCGAGCGCGUGUAGCAAUACACGAGCGGCGGACGGGUGAGUAACACGUGGGAACAUGCCUUUCGGUUCGGAAUAACGCAGGGAAACUUGCGCUAAUACCGAAUGCGCCGGUAACGGGAAAGAUUUAUCGCCGAAAGAUUGGCCCGCGUAGGAUUAGCUAGUUGGUGAGGUAACGGCCCACCAAGGCGACGAUCCUUAGCUGGUGAGAGAACGAUCAGCCACACUGGGACUGAGACACGGCCCGAGACUCCGUACGGGAGGCAGC
rnacentral:rRNA from 1 species